rnacentral:rRNA from 1 species
CUGAGAGGGUGACCGGCCACACUGGGACUGAUACACUCCCCAGACUCCUACGGGAGGCGGCAGUGGGGAAUAUUGGACAUGGCCGGAAGCCCCACCCCCCAGACGCCGCGGGGAGGGAUUACGGCCUUCGGGUUGUUAACCUCUUUCACCACAGACCAAGCGCAAGUGACGGUAUGUGCAGAAUAACGACCGGCCAACUACGUGC